rnacentral:rRNA from 1 species
UACGUAGGGGGCAAGCGUUGUCCGGAAUCAUUGGGCGUAAAGCGCGUGUAGGCGGCUCGGUAAGUCAGCUGUGAAAGUCCAGGGCUCAACCCUGGAAUGCCGGUUGAUACUGUCGAGCUCGAGUCCGGAAGAGGUGGGUGGAAUUCCUGGCGUAGCGGUGAAAUGCGCAGAUAUCAGGAGGAACACCAAUGGCGAAGGCAGCCCACUGGGACGGUACUGACGCUGAGACGCGAAAGCGUGGGGAGCAAACAGG